rnacentral:rRNA from 1 species
CUCUAGGGUUAAUACCCCUAGACGAUGACAUUAGCUGCAGAAUAAGCACCGGCUAACUCUGUGCCAGCAGCCGCGGUAAUACAGAGGGUGCAAGCGUUAAUCGGAAUUACUGGACGUAAAGCGAGCGUAGGUGGCUUGAUAAGUCAGAUGUGAAAUCCCCGGGCUUAACCUGGGAACUGCAUCUGAUACUGUUAGGCUAGAGUAGGUGAGAGGGAAGUAGAAUUUCAGGUGUAGCGGUGAAAUGCGUAGAGAUCUGAAGGAAUACCGAUGGCGAAGGCAGCUUCCUGGCAUCAUACUGACACUGAGGCUCGAAAGCGUGGGUAGCAAACAGGAUUAGAUACCCUGGUAGUCCACGCCGUAAACGAUGUC